CGUAACAAGGUUUCCGUAGGUGAACAUGCGGAAGGAUCAUUACUGAAAUACAUUUGGUUUUCAAGUUGUUGCUGGUCUUUAAUAGGACAUUGGUGCACGCUUUUAUAACCAAUUAAUUUUAAUGUUUUAUUCCAACUGUGCACAUAUUGUAGACAUUAAGGGAGUUAUAUUAUAUAAUCUACAAGAUUUUCUUGGGCUUUUUUGACCUGAGGAGUUGGAUGUUUGCUAUUUAUUUAUUAGCUUCUUGUCCUUAUAUUAGAUGAUCUGUAGAUUCUCCUUUUAAUGUCUAUGAUUUCUACAUAAUAACUCCUAUGAUUUAUUUCAAGUAUAUACAUUAAUAUGUAUAAAUCAAUUAACAAAUAUAAUAUAACUUUCAACAACGGAUCUCUUGGCUCUCGCAUCGAUGAAGAACGCAGCGAAAUGCGAUAAGUAAUGUGAAUUGCAGAAUUCAGUGAAUCAUCGAAUUUUUGAACGCACCUUGCGCUCCUUGGUAUUCUGAGGAGCAUGCCUGUUUGAGUGUCAGUAGAUUAAUCAACCUUAUUCUUUUCUUUAUUAGAGAAAGAAGAGUGUUGGAUUUUGGGAGUCUUUAUCAUGUUGCAGGCUUAUUUUGUAUAUCAUUUUAUUAUGUAUAUGCAAAAGAAAUGUUUGCUCUCCUUAAAUAUAAUCAAGCAGAUCUUUGAUGGCCGAUUUUGGCUAAUCAUGGCUUAUUUAAUACGGUGUGAUAAGUAUCUACAUCCAUAUUUUAAAUAAGUAUGCCAUUUUUAUAUGGAUUGAAGUUCUGCAUAAUUUAUGUUUAUAUGCAUAUAUAAAUAAAUAACACUUGACAAUUUGACCUCAAAUCAGGUAGGAUUACCCGCUGAACUUAAGCAUA
rnacentral:rRNA from 1 species